rnacentral:rRNA from 1 species
AUUGAACGCUGGCGGCAGGCCUAACACAUGCAAGUCGAGCGGUAGAGAGGUGCUUGCAUCUCUUGAGAGCGGCGGACGGGUGAGUAAUGCCUAGGAAUCUGCCUAGUGGUGGGGGAUAACGUUCGGAAACGGACGCUAAUACCGCAUACGUCCUACGGGAGAAAGCGGGGGAUCUUCGGACCUCGCGCCAUUAGAUGAGCCUAGGUCGGAUUAGCUAGUUGGUGAGGUAAUGGCUCACCAAGGCGACGAUCCGUAACUGGUCUGAGAGGAUGAUCAGUCACACUGGAACUGAGACACGGUCCAGACUCCUACGGGAGGCAGCAGUGGGGAAUAUUGGGACAAUGGGCGAAAGCCGGAGUCCAGCCAUGCCGCGUGUGUGAAGAAGGUCUUCGGAUUGUAAAGCACUUUAAGUUGGGAGGAAGGGUAGUAACCUAAUACGUUGCUACUUUGACGUUACCGACAGAAUAAG